rnacentral:rRNA from 1 species
CACGUAGGGGCGAGCGUUGUCCGGAAUUACUGGGCGUAAAGGGCGCGCAGGCUGUUAUGCGAGUCUGCUGUGAAAUGUACCGGCUCAACCGGUGCCUUGCGGCGGAUGCUGCAUAGCUGGAGUACUGGAGAGGGAAGUGGAAUUCCUGGUGUAGCGGUGAAAUGCGUAGAUAUCAGGAGGAACUCCGGUGGCGAAGGCGACUUCCUGGCACAAGACUGACGCUCAUGUGCGAAAGCUAGGGUAGCGAACGGGAUUA